AUUUAAUAUAUUAUGAUUAUACCGUAUUGGGAACUAAUAUCAUUGGAUGGUAUGAAAUGAGUAAUCAUGAGAAUAAACAGCUAUUUAAAGUGUAAAUCAGAUUCGCUUUUCUACAAUAAAAGAAAUGUCGAUUAUCGAAUGUUUUCUUUGAGACCGGAAGAAUCAAUACAAAACUAUCAUGGAGUUUUCAAGAUGUGAUAUAUAACAGACCCGUUAGUAUAAUAGACCUAUAUAGCCGACCUUAUGGAGUGUUCUUGUUUUUAUGUUGACGGUUUUUUAUUGAAAAGAGAAGAUCUCUUUAAGCGCACUAUAAAAUAAUUAUGUGGAACUAUAAUGUGGAACUAGUUUAUAUAUAAGGGAAUAUAUAAAUUAAAUACCUGCCCGCUAACUAGGAAGUAUAUUUUUAAGACUUUAUUUAUUUAAUGGAUAAUUUUUAUUUUAGUACUUAAGCGAUUCAA